UCCGGUUUAGCACCGGCAGUCUUCCCAGAGUCCCCGACAUGACUCGCUGGCAACUGGGAACGGGGGUUGCGCUCGUUGCGGGAUUUAACCCAACAUCUCACGGCACGAGCUGACGACAGCCAUGCAACACCUGUGCUGGCUCCCCGAAGGGUCCCUCACCUUUCGGAUCAGUACCACCAGCAUGUCAAGCCCUGGUAAGGUUCUUCGCGUAGCAUCGAAUUGAGCCACACGCUCCGCUGCUUGUGCGGGCCCCCGUCAAUUCCUUUGAGUUUCAACCUUGCGGUCGUACUCCCCAGGCGGGGUACUUCCUGCGUUAGCGCCGGCACCCAGAGGGUCGCUCCCCCAGGCACCUAGUACCCAUCGUUUACGGCGUGGACUAC
rnacentral:misc_RNA from 1 species